UACAGAGGGUGCAAGCGUUGUUCGGAAUUAUUGGGCGUAAAGGGCGCGUAGGCGGUGCGGUAAGUCUGUAGUGAAAUCUCUGGGCUCAACUCAGAGUCUGCUGCAGAAACUGCCGUGCUUGAGUGUGGGAGAGGUGAGUGGAAUUCCCGGUGUAGCGGUGAAAUGCGUAGAUAUCGGGAGGAACAUCAGUGGCGAAGGCGGCUACCUGGCCCAAUACUGACACUCAGGUGCGACAGCGUGGGGAGCAAACAGG
rnacentral:rRNA from 1 species